CUGGGAUUGAUCCUGCAAGCGCUGUUCCCGUGAGCCUGAACAUCGCUGCAUGGCACGUGCUCAGGCUGUAAAACAAGUCAUCCAGCUACACUUCACAAGGGAGUUCACAGCCUAAAAAAGGACUGUUGUGCUGCAUGUACAAGAGAUACAGGCCUAGCAGCUGGGAAGUGUGGUAAAGGGCUCAGCUGUGAGAAUCGCACAAUGGCAGCCCGAGGACAUUGCAUGUAUGUGCAACCGUGGCGUCUGAUGGCUUUCAGACAUGAACUUGGAAUCCAGUUGUCCAGAGAUUCAUUGUUCCAGCUCAGCAAUACCCAGCACGUCAGAAAAAAAGAAAAAGAAAAAGAAAAAAAAAAGAUACCUACAAGACAGAACAAAAUAGCCCAGAAGCAAAUGAGUGAUCCGGACCAUAAUCUGGGUAAUGUGCAAAAUAUGUUAUCUAAUAGAUUGCACUUACCCAGACUUCCACAGAAUCUACUCCAGAACAGACUGUUCUCUGUCAUCAUAUGCCAUCAGUGAAAAGGAUGGGAUUUCUGAAAGACCAGAUGUGAUAAUUAAGGUUUGUAUGUUAUUCAAGAAUCUUCCAUGUUUAUUUUUUUUUAAUCUACUAUCUAACUAGGUAGAUCGCUGCCUUGCUAAAAGGGAAGCAAUUUGAAAAGGAAGUGUAUUGGGGACUUAGGGCUUAAAAAGUCAAAGGUGAUACAGUUUGGUGGAAAAACUGUCACACUAAUUUUUUUACUGAGGAAGUCAGCUAUGAGGAACUGAAGUAAUUGUCCAAUUUGGCUUUUGAAGUAAUGAGAGUGCAUCUGAACUUGUACAAGAGCCAUUAUACUAUAGAAUGAGUUCUUACUCCAGGUGAAGUUGUGUGAAUACUUUCCCAGGGGCUUCACAAAACACUACUUGAAUAUUUUUUAAAGUAGCUUUUUCUGAAGAACAGUAUUGUCUGGAUAACUGCAGCAUAUGAAUUAAGUUGAAACUUCUCUUGAUAAUUAACUCAAGAACUCCAGAUCCAGUGACACAGCUAAACGCUUAAACUUCUGUCACUGUUUUACGUGUCCCUGAAACAGACUUUUAACUGUUCCACCUCAGCUUGUGCUUCAAGGAAUGCCACACUCUUGGGGUUGGUUUUUUUUUUCACCUACAAUCUUAUCUUUAGACUUUUUAAUUACUGACUUUGUUUUUAAGCUAUUUCUUUCAGCACCCUGGGUUCCUUUCAGGCAGCCGACCAAACCUCUUGCACCCUGGAAAGGGAAGGUCAUGCAAUUCUUUAUUUGCUGAAAUACAAUCACAGUGCAAACUCCUUGUGAAAGAGCUGGCUGUUCCCAAUCAAUCUCUGCUGGCCUUUCAUAACGACAAAGAUUGAACUCCACUUAUUGUUACACUUGAUUGUAAAUCUUUUCAAUCUUUUCUUCUUUUGACUGAAUAUAUAAACCCAGGUUCACCGUAGGAAAAGAUAACCCUUGUUUUCAAUGGGGCUUUCACACUGACAGCCCAGGCGAGAUGGGCAUCUUCUGAGAUACUUACUUUCCAGAGGAAAUUAUUAAGCUGUCAGCUGCCUUGAGCCAAGGGAUCUUUGGGUCAAAGCCCAUGGAAGCACAUAGCAAAUCAGUUUGUCUUUCUCUGCACUCACAAAUACUCCUUUCUAUAUCUACCAAUACAAAGGAAUGCACCCUCCUAGAAUGUGUGAGUGUGCACUAGCAGCUCAUACACAGGCAAUACAUUGCUACUAAGAGCACCCUUCUGAAUAGUUUACUACGUCAUCUCUCUGAAAUCAAAGAAGCAGUAAGGUUGGCCAAUUACAGAGUUCUCCAGGAACUAACUGGAAAUCCUUCUGUAGAUGCAUUGGAAUUUUGUUCUUUCCACCACUCAGUAAAGCUGGUUGUCUUACAGCUUUGAGUACAGUGGUUAAAUGCAGCCAGAAAGGAAUCUGUAACAAGUUUCUGGCAUGGAGCACAGUUUGCUGUACAAAGCCUCCAGUGCUGCUGAGUUCAGCAGUACUGUGGUCAGUAAGUAAGGACAUAGCAGAGAUCACCAUUUGCUUCUGAAAUGCAAUAGGAGCAGAAGAAAUGGAGGGACAGCCAGGAUCGUCAGGGAUCAUCCUGAAAGAAGCCUAACUACAGUUAAGCUUCAGUGACUGGCAUGGAUUGUGUGCCCGUGCAUAACUGCCUACAUACAAAGAAGUGCAGAUCGAGGUUUCUUCUACAACAGCCUAAGGAUGCAGUGGCUGAGGUCCCAUCACAGUCACCCCUUCCUGAAGUUAAGAAAACACCUUGUGUCCAAGUUAACAUGGGAUAUGGUCAGGAUGGUAAUUUGAAAGAGUUUCUAAAAGAAGCCGACAGUGGCUCUGAGUCCCCCACCUUUGAAGGCUUUGAUUUAUCUCUAAUACUACUGCAACCAAUACCUACCAUUCCUAAAGAAGGCCAGAAAGAGGUGGUAGGAACUGUAAGAUGCAAUACAUGUAAGAUAAAGUCAGGAAAACAAUUUCCUUUCUUUGUGCCAGCAAGUGGCAUUUCCUCUGAACUCAGAAAUAUUUUUGUCUUUUAAAGCAAAUUAGAUAAAUAUUAUUCGUCUUUCUUUUCCUUGACUCAUUUCUGGUGCUCCUAUCUCCAAAUUUCUUACACUCAAACUUUUCUUUCUGCUCCCCUCCAAUAUCUAAUUUAUAUUUCUAAUCCCUUCUUAGAAACCUCAUUCUGACUGUUUGAUAUUAUAGAAGACUUUGCUAAACAUAAAUUCUGUUAAAUUGGUGGUCUGCUGCCAGCUUUCUGCAGAGAUCUCACAUAGUACAUUAACAAUGCAGAUUAUGUAGCGGUUGCUUUGCUUAAUUGCUUUCUUCCUGCCUACUGUCUGUAGAAGGGACCUCAGUUUCCCUUAAAGUAAUUCUUUCCUUACCUGAGUCACCUUUGUUCCCUGUGAGGAUCCCUCUGUAGUGUAAGCAUCUCCUAAGUAUAACAGCUGUGGCUCUCUGGAAGCUCCCUGAGCACAGCACUUGGCUGAGACACGCUGCCUGGAAGGGGACAGGGUGGGACAGGCAAUCCCAGCUCAUCAUCAGUGUCACGCUCUCUGGAGGAAAGGAAACAAAAAAGGUGUUUUUUUGAGUUAGAGCGUUGUGGUGGUCGUGACAGCCUAACUUUUAUAACAGAGAAUCUAUUUCACUACAGCAAACGAGACAGCUGGAAAAAACAGAUGCGCUUUAGACUGCACAAACUAAUUUAGAAGUUAGAAGCCUAGCUUUGGCAGCCAAACUUUGCAAUGUAUAACAAACUAGAAAAUCGAACAAGAGCUUCAGUUUAACAGCCAUGUUCCGCUCUACCUGCUCAGCCUCUCUCCAAGAACUGCUGGUGUCCUCCAGUUCCUCUUCAAGAUUCUUUCGCGCUUCCUGAGAAAAUGUCUUUUCUCAGCUAAACUAAGCCCAGUGCCCAGUGCCAAUUCUUCACUUUUUGUUUUUUUUUACUCAAUUCACGUGCCAUCUAAAUCAUUAGCAAGAAAAGGAAGAUUCCUAAAGCAUGUAAGCAUUAUGUAUGCUAGAGAUGCUCUGGUUUACCCAGCAAUUUUGUGGAAGAUAAGCUAUGUACACAGCUUGUCUUGAGCUGCUCCCACCCCAACACAAGAUGAGCUGUAACCCUGGGCCGUGCAGUUCAGCUGCCAAAGACCCAUUAUGAAUCUUCUGCCUUGCCACGCUCCUCACCUGCAGUAUUCAUUUCAUUUUUUUUUAAAGCCUGAAACAAAAGCAGAAUAUUGUAAAAGUUUUGUACGAUCUGUUGUUUGUUGCCCCGUGUCUGUGUUAUGACUGUGGACAGCUGCUUUAAAAUGAAAGAGACACUGUGCGCCUCCCAUUUUCAGGUGUCCCCAGAAGCUGCAGGUUCUCAGCCUCUCAAAAUCCGGGCUACAAUAUCCGCGUUUAUGAGAUUCAAAAUUCUCUCUGAGUUUUUAACAAAACUAGACUGUGUUUUGCUGCCAUCAGAAUCCACUGAGAUAAACAGAGAUCUGAUGAAGCACUAGGAAGUUUCCUCUUUGUGUAUAAAUAUUUAUGUAUGUAAAUGGGUGUAUGGUUAAUUAUAUCUGACAAGAAGAGACUGACAGCAACUCAGAUCCUCUGUCCCCACGGAGUGAUAGAAGUUGCUUGUUGAAGUGUCGUAGCACAUCUCAUGGGCUGUGUAUUGAAUCAUUGAUUAAAUGCUGCAGCAUCUGGGUAGCUAAAAUGCCAGGGACUGCUGAAGGAGGAGGGAGGAAUGUGCACUGAAUACCGAAUAAGAACAGGGAAAUCAUCUGGUUUGUACUUCUUUAUAUUUCACAAACUGAUCAAGAACCAGAGCGUUUGCUUUCCCCGUGUGUCUCCCUGCAGAAUGGGCAGCCCACCUUGCUUUCACCUGCUCACAGGCAGAGUCCCUCACCCAGGAGGAGCUGGGAAAGUGUUCCAUGAGAAGACAGCACAGGCUGAAUGUAAUAUGCAUGGGUGGGGUGAAAGCAACCCUACAGCUGGCUCCUUCAAGUGUAGGCAGGCUUUAAAUCUGCUUGUGUGUUAGGAAGAAGGUGGUAUACAGCUAACGUUUUUGAAUGAGACUUGAGUAUCUUUGUUAUUUCCAUUUCCUGUUUUUCCAUUAUUCCUGAUAUCCUUGUGAGCUGGGCUUUGUGUCUGUGAGUAAACUGUUAUCUCUUAACCGUCAUAUAAUGCUAUCUGAAGGAAAAAGAAACAUUUGGAUGAAUCGUACAGCACUACGUAGAAUCACAGGUAUAUACAUUUAGAAAAAAUAAGUAUUUAAUGAAAAUAAUUUACAAGUAAAAUCAUAAAGGUGUGUAGCUGAAAAGACAAUAUUCUGUGUGACAUUUUUGGGACAUGGAAGAGAGCUAUUUCUUUUUAAUAUUUCGACUUGCUUUCCUAGCAUGGCAUCACACACUGCUGUGCAUUUCUUGAAACAAUUUUUAAGUGUGCUGCAUUUUGUUUUUCUCUAUUUUUGUCAUUUUGUAAUGAAUGGCAGUGCGAUUUGUCAGAUCUGGCACGAUAUACUUUUCUCCUAACACUUAAGGUUUCUAGAAGUGUUUUAUUGUGGCUUUUGUUUCCAUAUUUUUUGUUGCUCACUCUCCCAUUUCCUUAAAAGCACUGCUCUCUCUUGCAGCCUAUAUUCAUCAUGGAUAUUAUUUUCUUUACUUCCUCCUCACUGAUUUCCCUACUUUCAGUCUCUCCUUUCUCCCCUAACCUGAAAGACCUGAAGAACAUCAUCCAGUAGCUCCACAAUUCAAGAAAUGCCACUUGUACAUGAUUUUCUUUCCCAUUUGAGAGCAAUCCUUUCAGAGGCAGACAGCACAGAGAGACCUUCGAUGUCUGUUCCCUCUUUGUGAGCAGCAGGGCCAGAACAUGAAAACAUCACACCCAUCCACGUCAGGGAAAACACGGAGACUUAAGAAUUAGAAAGAUAGAGAUGGGAAGAGGUGGAAGGUUUGCAGCAAAGCUGUGGGAGCAGUCUCUAAGCUGCCAGAAGCCAGGGAGUGUCACCUCCAAGCGUCCUGGGUGUCUUCUGAAGAAUCCUGCUGGCAACAGACACUGGCUGUGGGGUGAACAAUCACUGCCAUGUUUGAGUAGGCUGCUGAAUCAGCCCGAGUCCAAGGGACAGGGCCUGUGGGUGCCAGCCACUCAGCAGAGGAACAUUUUGGUCGCUGUCACAUGGGCUCUGGGCUCCAGCUGUCCACAGCUCUUUCCCCAUCAGCUGAUGUGGUAGAUGUGAAGAACCUAGUAGGUCAUUUGCCUAAAGGUCACCUGUACUGAAGGUGACCUACAAACCAAGCUUGUAGCCCUUACCCCACGCAUAUAUCUGCUUUAUUAUUUCUACAUGUGACAAGAGACAGACUGAACACAGAGCUUUUGAGAAAAGAAAAAAUAGAAUUAAAGACCGAAAGCUAAAAAAUGAGUUAUUGCUCUUCUGUACCCAACACCAGGUUAAUAAUCUAUGUGGUUUCAAGGGAAUCACUACGUAAGUACUGAUAAAGCACAGGAACACCUGACAAAAAAAAAUGCAGAAAAUCAUUAUGCUGUAGGCAGUUGUUCAAGCUUUGUCAAUGUUUUCUCAUAUUUCUUUUUUUCCUUCUGUGGAGCGAUGGAAAGUGAUGAUAAUGCCUUCUGCUAGGACAGGAGCACAAAGGAAUUAGUUAAGGUUUAGUUUACAAAGAUACAGAAGAAGGUGACUCACCCUUUCAAAAGGCCAGCGAUGUCUUGAGAAGAGCAUGAUCUCUGCUCCCUCAGCUGCUAGCCCUUAAUUGAGGGCCUCAGGUGCAUUGCUUGUACCUGAGCUCCCUGGGUUAGCCAUGACUUCUCACCUGGUGCUCAGGUUCAGGCUGUGGCCUAGCAAUCCCCACACACCUUUGAACCCCUUUUUCUUUCUCAAUAUUACAGUCAUUAACUAAAAAGAUGUGUUUUUUACAUAUUUUUUUACAGCACCUUUCCUCUUCUUUCUCUGCUGUUCCCCUGCAGUUAGCUUCCCUCAUGGGGAUGCAGCAUCAGAAUGCUGUCUUGCUCCAACAGAUGCCUAUAGAUGUCAGCUGGCACCUUCAGGUUGCACCAAACCUCAUAGGCCUGAAGAGUCAGUGUAACUCCAACGUUGCCCUCCUGUAAAAUUCACUCCUCAUGAAGUUAACUGGCAAUUUACAUUAAAAAUUACUUACAAACAUUGUACAGGUGAAGCUGGCUCUGUAGCCCCUUUUCCAAAACUGCUCUUCUUGCAAAAAAUAUUGCCCACUGCUUGCUUCUACAAACUGUGGCAUUGGCCUGCCUCAGUUAUGUCCUUCCCUAAAAUCUUCUGUGCUGGAUCCAGAAGUUCCUAAUACAAACUUCACCCUUGAAUGACUCCUUUGGGAACAACAAUAUUCAAGCUAAUCUCCCAUUCGUGUUAUUGCUGUUAGUGGAGGAUUUGUUGCCAUGCUUUUAUUGCCUUCUGCUCACUGAACUUUUGUACUCAUAAGAGCCUUACUUCUUUCAGCCCUCCUACAUCAAGCCAAUUGGUGACAAAAGCUUUUUCCUUUCUUUCUAGUUCUUGCCUCCAUAUCCACUUGAAUACAACCUGUCUAUUUCUAUUAUAUACCUGUCUUCUAGAGCUGAGUUUCUUCUCUCUUUAAUGUGUAGUUAUUUCAUAUGACCCACAUUCCAUUGCAAGUAGGAUUAUCUUAUAUCAUUGCAUUAUGUGGCUUUGGUGACUGCAUCUAGACACAUUGUCCCAUGCAUGGUCUAUGUUGAUUGGAAUCCGUGAAAAGAAAUGCACACAAGGCAGCUUUAGUUUUCUUUUGUUGACAUUGAACUUCUGUUUGUAACAUAAUUAUUUUCGUAUAUAACAAUCUUGUAGAAGCCUAUACAGUGGUUUUAGCCACAAAGCUUUAUGAAUCUUAUGCAUUUUAGGAAAUUACAUUAAAUUACUCUUAAGAAACAUCAGAAAUAAUUUUCUAGUGUAGAAUACUGUGCUAAAUUAUUUCAAAUCUUUGCUGUUAGUCCACUCCACCUUCUAGAUCUCAUAAAACUUAUUCUUCAUCACUACGUAUGAAUCCAUCACUGGAUCCAGCUAUGUAAUGUAUAAAUGAGUGCCACUAACUACCUUUCCUAAUAGGCUUAGAUAUUUUUUAGAAGAGUUGCAAAUUCAGGUAAAAUAGAUAAAAUCUUAGGCCUAUGGAAUAAAACCAUUAAGAUGAAGGUAACAGAUGGACUUGACCAAAUUCAGUGCUUUUCUGAUUGCAGAUUCUGAAUCAUAAUGCAAAAAAGGUACAAAAGGAGAGGGGCUGCCUGCUUAAAUUCACAAGUAAAGCUUUGUGAGACCCCAAGUCUUGAAAAACAGAGAACAUUUCAAUUUAGGAUUCAAGUUUACUGACAGAUUUAAGAUUUUUUAAGACAUCCUUUGUGACCUAGGAUGAGGGGUCUUACUCUCAAAAUUGUUGAUCUAGUUGUUCAUAUUGUCUGAUAGGAACAAGACGACAAAAUCUUACAGAGUUGUACAAUUUUACAGAGCUGUCUAAAAAUGGGAGUAGAAAUCCUAACUUUAGCUAUAUGUAUUUGGAGAGUUUGGUCUAAGGUCUAUUACAGAACUAUAUAAUAUUCUCUGAACUAGAACAGCUGUCAGAAUGUCUAAAAUUGUCAUUUAUAUUUAUGGAAGAAAUAGUUGGUAACUGGUGUCACCAUCCUAGUAUCCACCACUAAAGUCAUCCAUGUGUCUUAUUAAAAAUGUAAGUAGCCAUUACAUUUAACCUGUUUUUACCAGUAAAGCAAGUGGCAAGAUAUUUUGACAGAUGUGGCACUGACUACAUUUGAUGAAAAAAAAAAAACCAGAUACAGGAAGAUAGCAUUACUAACAUUUUCCCAUCAGCUGCUAUCUGUGAGAUUUAGAUCUGUGCAAAUAGAAGUCAAGCUAGAUUUCCCAAUUUUAUAUUUUAUAUUUAUCACUGCCUUUUUUAUUAUUUUUCUGAGAAUGUAUUUAUAAAACAUGCUAUAAAUUAUGUAGAAUAAGUAGAAUUUAAAUUCUCCUGUAUUGCUCCACACUUGUUUAAUGUACUGAAUAUUACAAUACAUUUACCAAAUAAGACACUUUGCAAGACCAAAAGGAUUCUGUAGUUCAGUCACGUGUGAAGUCUGUGCCUGGUUCUGCUGCUCCCAGGCUGCUGCAGACUGGGCAACAAGCAGAUUUCACACAGUAAAUGAUCUCAGCUAUUUUGUGAAACCUAUUUUUAUUGUGGUAAUAGCAUUCAAUCACUUUUCAAAACAGGGAACUAGCCCGUUUCUUCCUCACUUGAGUAGCAUUGAGAACAGUAGCAUCCUUGCAUAUUAAUGGAUGCCAGUCAACUACAGAAAAUGAAAUGUUUAUGUUUUACAAUAUUUCAGGUCAUCUGGUGUUUCGGUUUAAAUCAUUCACACUGAUGCUGGUUCUUUAAUCCCAGGAUACCCUCUGUAAGAACAGGAUCAUAAAAUAGAAAUUCCUUUCUGAUAGAUACUUGAGUCAGCACACUUCUUUUUCUUCUGCUCACAAAGUGCUCCGAAAAUUCACACAGUAAUUUAUAUAUUUGUGAGUCUAUUUGGAAAACGUUUUCAUUAUACAAAUAUCUUGUGAACAGUUUGCUGUGAAUAUUUAUUACCUAACUUUUACAUUAAUGCAGUGUUGGCUAGUCAUUCAGAGGACGCAGUUUCUGCACCAAGAGUCUUUCAAAUCUUGCAAAUACAUUUCACAUUUAAAGUGUAACGUGAACAAUCCAAUUCAACAUAUAUUUUGCUAGUACUUAAGCUUUUGCUUAAAUUCACUUCUGUAAGUGAAAGUAAACCUAGAUUGCUUUUGAGCUCUAGUGAGCAUUAGUGGAUUUUUUCCAUUGCUCAGUCAGCUCAAGUAAUUGCAUCCUUCUGACCUAGAUUCUCCCUGCAGUUGCAGCUCAAAGCCUUCUUCACCCUGUCCUGUACAGUGUUGUGAGAAGUUCCUAUGUGCUGUGAGGUAGUCGCUACACUGCACUCCACAUGGCUUUGUUGCACUGAAAUGCAUUUAUUUCAGAUCCUCUGAUGUAAGGCCCUGAGACAGAUUUAUUUCAUGCACUUCAUAAUUACAGAAUACAAUAAACCACACUAAACUUAAGAACAUGUUGCUUAAAUUCAAGCACGGUUAUGUUCCCGCACAGUUAAAUAAAUAGUUUUAUUUCACAAACUCAGAGAUCACCUUCUGGUUUCUUUAAAGUCAGUGAUAGACAUACUUAACACUUACUAAAGUAAACAGCACUUCAAAUUGCUGUAUUUAAGCAUUCAUGUUUGAUAAUUUUGGCUCUAGCUGUGCAUUUGCCUAAUUGUAAACACGACAUUUCUUUCAUUACCAGGUGCUGUAAGGGUUAUACUGUAGUUCAGGUGCUUUGAGAUAAUUAAGGGAAAGAAUUACAGGAGCACAAAGCAUCAUAACGUGGUUUCUCUAAAUACUGAUCACAGACAGAGGCUGCGAUAUCUAUAAUAGCAAUCAUUUUUUUGUGCUCAAUUUCUUGAAUAAACUUGAAUUGAAUCUACCGAUCAUUGGUUAACCUGUUAACAAAACAGGCCCAUUCCUGAGGAUCACAGACAGGCAAUGGGGGGUGUAUUUGGGUAUUAGGGAAGGUUUUCCACCAAAGACAUCGCUGCUCAGCAAUUAGCAGUGUCUUGGAGCUGCUCUCCAAUUGUUGGAGGAACAAAAAGGGUGAGCAGAGUAAGGCAUUUGGGAGCAGAGUACUGAAAAACAGGAGGAAUCUCAUGUUUGUGUUUUAAACAUAAGUCUGCCAUGAAAGCACAGCCAGGAGAGAGAUGGAGCCUGGGAUGUGAGGUCUGAAAACAUCUCAGGAUACAGAAAAGUGCUUUGGAACUGAGAACGUUUCCUCCCUGCUGAACACAGUCUGGAGUUAUUUACUAUUUCACACCUGAAAUUUUGUCAGCAAAUUAUCAGAGUAAAUAUUAUCUGCACUGCUGUAGAAUCACUACAGAUUUUGAAUUCCUCUACAGAACCUCUUCUUCAUCUACUGCCAUUCUCAGCUGACAUUCACUACCAUUUCUUGCCAUAGGAAAAGUAUGCUGUUUUGAUCAAAAAUCCACGUACAAAUCAGCCUGCAUCUCACACAUCUACAGAAGACCAGGGUAUCUUGCCGAGCUUUUAGUUAUUUAUUUUUGCUCACACAAAUGUGUGAUUUCCCUCCUUUUAGCUGCCCUACUAUUUAAUUCACAACCGCAGCAUCACCCUACGAGGCACUUUUUCCCCUGCAUACCACUCAGGGAUGCCCCCUGCCACAGCCUCCUCAGCCAGCCCUUGGGAGAAAGCAAGGCAGAAAAGGGACACGGAACCACAGCCCUUCAUUGCUCAUAUGGUCACACAUCACCUCCUGAUCCAGGACACGCACACCAUGGGACUGAAAGCAGACCUCGAGCCUGCCUUGCACCCCAGCAGUACCCAGAAGAGAGAGUGCAGGAGACACCACAGUUGUGUUCUUGUAACCAAAGCUUUCCGCAUGCAGGGAAAUCUAUGGCAUUUUAUGCAGUAGGUACAGAAUAAGAUGGUGGAAACUUUCACACGCACUUCUGAGCAUUUGCUCUUUGUUGUGAGUCAGGCUGUGACCUGCAGUCCUGCAUACAGCCUCCCCUCCUCAGAUAACUCUCUGCACUCUCACACUUGAAUCUGAGGGCUCUAUCCAAACUUGCUGCAGGGAUUUUAGAGUAUCCAUGAGGAAGUGACAUUUCCCUGACACUAAGCAUCAAUCUGUAGCCUUCCAUACAUCUACAAUUCGUUUUUAUAAGAUUUAUAUUCUUUUCUUUAUGGGCACUUCAUAUAACAUCACCUCAGCAGUGUUUCCAGUGCUGCCUCAAACCCAGUUCUGAGUGCCACAGUUCUGGCUUUUAGGGAGAAAUGCAAACAUGUAGUAGCUUUAUUGUUUGAUACACACCUGUGUUUCCCUUUUGUUCUAGAAAAAAAUCUUUCUGCUGUGAUUCCACUAUUACAAAUAUCAGCAUUUCCCAUCUUUUAGCUCUUCAUAUAGCAAAACUGUGGACUGGGAGCAGAAUGUGAGGGGCUGCCUGGGUUGCUUCGUCCCAGGCACCUCCUCUCAAACACUUGCCUUUGCAG
ensembl:lncRNA